UACGGAGGGGGCUAGCGUUGUUCGGAAUUACUGGGCGUAAAGCGCACGUAGGCGGCUUUGCAAGUUAGAGGUGAAAGCCCGGGGCUCAACUCCGGAAUUGCCUUUAAAAACUGCAUCGCUAGAAUUGUGGAGAGGUAAGUGGAAUUCCGAGUGUAGAGGUGAAAUUCGUAGAUAUUCGGAAGAACACCAGUGGCGAAGGCGGCUCACUGGCCCGGUACUGACGCUGAGGUGCGAAAGCGUGGGGAGCAAACAGG
rnacentral:rRNA from 1 species